CGUUAAUGAAACAGAGGGGGUGUGGUGCACACCCCAUCGUGCGACCCUUCCCUAUGCGGCCCAAGGCCAAUCACGGGGCCUUCCCCCUUGUGGUGCAUGGACUGUCGCAAGAGCUGGGUUGUGCAACACGGGGGCCAUGGCAUGGCUUUCCUCGUGUGACGUAUGGCACGUUUCCUCGUCCUAAAUUUUUCCCAACACUUUCAAAUUGAUUCUGAAACGUUUUCUACUCAUUCUGAGGGUUAUAUAGGCUCGUUUAAGGCUCUAAUAAGGCAUGCAAACAUUUG
rnacentral:lncRNA from 1 species